rnacentral:rRNA from 1 species
AGUGAACGCUGGCGGUAGGCCUAACACAUGCAAGUCGAACGGCAGCACAGUAAGAGCUUGCUCUUACGGGUGUCGAGUGUCGGACGGGUGAGGAAUACAUCGGAAUCUACUUUUUCGUGGGUGAUAACGUAGGGAAACUUACUCUAAUACCGCAUACGACCUACGGGUGAAAGCAGGGGAUCUUCUGACCUUGCGCGAUUGAAUGAGCCGAUGUCGGAUUAGCUAGUUGGCGGGGUAAAGGCCCACCAAGGCGACGAUCCGUAGAUGGUCUGAGAGGAUGAUCAGCCACACUGGAACUGAGACACGGUCCAGACUCCUACGGGAGGCACAAGUGGGGAAUAUUGGACAAUGGGCGCAAGCCUGAUCAAGCCAUACCGCGUGGGUGAAGAAGGCAUUCGGGUUGUAAAGCCCUUUUGUUGGGAAUGAAAAGCAGCAGGUUAAUACCCCGCUGUUAUGACGGUACCCAAAGAAUAAGCACCGGCUAACUUCGUG